UUAAGCGACUAAGCGUACACGGUGGAUGCCCUGGCAGUCAGAGGCGAUGAAGGACGUGCUAAUCUGCGAAAAGCGCCGGCGAGGUGAUAUGAACCUUUGACCCGGCGAUGUCCGAAUGGGGAAACCCAGUGUGAUUCGUCACACUAUCGUUAACUGAAUACAUAGGUUAACGAGGCGAACCGGGGGAACUGAAACAUCUAAGUACCCCGAGGAAAAGAAAUCAACCGAGAUUCCCCCAGUAGCGGCGAGCGAACGGGGAGCAGCCCAGAGUCUGAAUCAGCUUGUGUGUUAGUGGAAGCGUCUGGAAAGUCGCACGGUACAGGGUGACAGUCCCGUACACGAAAAUGCACAGGUUGUGAACUCGAAGAGUAGGGCGGGACACGUGGUAUCCUGUCUGAAUAUGGGGGGACCAUCCUCCAAGGCUAAAUACUCCUGACUGACCGAUAGUGAACCAGUACCGUGAGGGAAAGGCGAAAAGAACCCCGGCGAGGGGAGUGAAAAAGAACCUGAAACCGUGUACGUACAAGCAGUGGGAGCACCUUCGGGUGUGACUGCGUACCUUUUGUAUAAUGGGUCAGCGACUUAUAUUCUGUAGCAAGGUUAACCGUAUAGGGGAGCCGAAGGGAAACCGAGUCUUAACUGGGCGUUAAGUUGCAGGGUAUAGACCCGAAACCCGGUGAUCUAGCCAUGGGCAGGUUGAAGGUUGGGUAACACUAACUGGAGGACCGAAUCGACUAAUGUUGAAAAAUUAGCGGAUGACUUGUGGCUGGGGGUGAAAGGCCAAUCAAACCGGGAGAUAGCUGGUUCUCCCCGAAAGCUAUUUAGGUAGCGCCUCGUGAACUCAUCUUCGGGGGUAGAGCACUGUUUCGGCUAGGGGGCCAUCCCGGCUUACCAACCCGAUGCAAACUACGAAUACCGAAGAAUGUUAUCACGGGAGACACACGGCGGGUGCUAACGUCCGUCGUGAAGAGGGAAACAACCCAGACCGCCAGCUAAGGUCCCAAAGUCAUGGUUAAGUGGGAAACGAUGUGGGAAGGCACAGACAGCCAGGAUGUUGGCUUAGAAGCAGCCAUCAUUUAAAGAAAGCGUAAUAGCUCACUGGUCGAGUCGGCCUGCGCGGAAGAUGUAACGGGGCUAAACCAUGCACCGAAGCUGCGGCAGCGACGCUUAUGCGUUGUUGGGUAGGGGAGCGUUCUGUAAGCCGUUGAAGGUGUGCUGUGAGGCAUGCUGGAGGUAUCAGAAGUGCGAAUGCUGACAUAAGUAACGAUAAAGCGGGUGAAAAGCCCGCUCGCCGGAAGACCAAGGGUUCCUGUCCAACGUUAAUCGGGGCAGGGUGAGUCGACCCCUAAGGCGAGGCCGAAAGGCGUAGUCGAUGGGAAACAGGUUAAUAUUCCUGUACUUGGUGUUACUGCGAAGGGGGGACGGAGAAGGCUAUGUUAGCCGGGCGACGGUUGUCCCGGUUUAAGCAUGUAGGCGGAGGUUCCAGGUAAAUCCGGUACCUUAUUAACGCUGAGGUGUGAUGACGAGGCACUACGGUGCUGAAGUAACAAAUGCCCUGCUUCCAGGAAAAGCCUCUAAGCAUCAGGUAACAUCAAAUCGUACCCCAAACCGACACAGGUGGUCAGGUAGAGAAUACCAAGGCGCUUGAGAGAACUCGGGUGAAGGAACUAGGCAAAAUGGUGCCGUAACUUCGGGAGAAGGCACGCUGAUAUGUAGGUGAAGCCCCUGCGGGUGGAGCUGAAAUCAGUCGAAGAUACCAGCUGGCUGCAACUGUUUAUUAAAAACACAGCACUGUGCAAACACGAAAGUGGACGUAUACGGUGUGACGCCUGCCCGGUGCCGGAAGGUUAAUUGAUGGGGUUAGCGGCAACGCGAAGCUCUUGAUCGAAGCCCCGGUAAACGGCGGCCGUAACUAUAACGGUCCUAAGGUAGCGAAAUUCCUUGUCGGGUAAGUUCCGACCUGCACGAAUGGCGUAAUGAUGGCCAGGCUGUCUCCACCCGAGACUCAGUGAAAUUGAACUCGCUGUGAAGAUGCAGUGUACCCGCGGCAAGACGGAAAGACCCCGUGAACCUUUACUAUAGCUUGACACUGAACACUGGUCCUUGAUGUGUAGGAUAGGUGGGAGGCUUUGAAGUGUGGACGCCAGUCUGCAUGGAGCCGUCCUUGAAAUACCACCCUUUAAUGGCUGGUGUUCUAACGUAGACCCGUAAUCCGGGUUGCGGACAGUGUCUGGUGGGUAGUUUGACUGGGGCGGUCUCCUCCCAAAGAGUAACGGAGGAGCACGAAGGUUAGCUAAUCCUGGUCGGACAUCAGGAGGUUAGUGCAAUGGCAUAAGCUAGCUUGACUGCGAGAGUGACGGCUCGAGCAGGUGCGAAAGCAGGUCAUAGUGAUCCGGUGGUUCUGAAUGGAAGGGCCAUCGCUCAACGGAUAAAAGGUACUCCGGGGAUAACAGGCUGAUACCGCCCAAGAGUUCAUAUCGACGGCGGUGUUUGGCACCUCGAUGUCGGCUCAUCACAUCCUGGGGCUGAAGUAGGUCCCAAGGGUAUGGCUGUUCGCCAUUUAAAGUGGUACGCGAGCUGGGUUUAGAACGUCGUGAGACAGUUCGGUCCCUAUCUGCCGUGGGCGCUGGAGAAUUGAGGGGGGCUGCUCCUAGUACGAGAGGACCGGAGUGGACGCAUCACUGGUGUUCGGGUUGUCAUGCCAAUGGCACUGCCCGGUAGCUAAAUGCGGAAAAGAUAAGUGCUGAAAGCAUCUAAGCACGAAACUUGCCCCGAGAUGAGUUCUCCCUGAGACUUUAAGUCUCCUGAAGGAACGUUGAAGACGACGACGUUGAUAGGUCGGGUGUGUAAGCGCAGCGAUGCGUUGAGCUAACCGAUACUAAUGAACCGUGAGGCUUAACCUU
rnacentral:rRNA from 1 species